NCUGGUUAUAAGAGAAACCAUAUAUGUCCNNNUUUUUCGAGAGUUUGAUCCUGGCUCAGGAUGAACGCUUGCUGUGUGCCUAAUACAUGCAUGUUGAGCGAGGUCUUUAUGGCCUAGCAGCGAAUGGGUGAGUAACACGUACCUAACCUACCUUUUAGAUUGGGAUAACUGUUGGAAACAAUAGCUAAUACCGAAUACGUAUUGAGAUCGCAUGAUUUUUUUAUAAAAGGGGCGUUUGCCUCACUAAAAGAUGGGGGUGCGGCAUAUUAGCUAGUUGGUAGGGUAAUGGCCUACCAAGGCAAUGAUAUGUAGCCGGACUGAGAAGUUGAUCGGCCACACUGGGACUGAGAUACGGCCCNNNCUCCUACGGGAGNCAGCAGUAGGGAAUUUUCCGCAAUGAGCGAAAGCUUGACGGAGCGACACAGCGUGCAGGAUGAAGGUCUUCGGAUUGUAAACUGCNGUUGUAAGGGAAGAAAAAAUUUAAUAGGAAAUGAUUAAAUCUUGACGGUACCUUAUUAGAAAGUGACGGCUAACUAUGUGCCAGCAGCCGCGGUAAUACAUAGGUCACAAGCGUUAUCCGGAAUUAUUGGGCGUAAAGAGUUUGUAGGCGGUUUAUCAAGUCUAGAGUUAAAGCCUGAGGCUCAACCUCAGUCCGCUCUGGAUACUGGUUAACUAGAGUUAUAUAGAGGUAAACGGAAUUCUUAGUGAAGCGGUGGAAUGCGUAGAUAUUAGGAAGAACACCAACGGCGAAGGCAGUUUACUGGAUAUACACUGACGCUCAAGAACGAAAGCGUGGGGAGCAAACAGGAUUAGAUACCCUGGUAGUCCACGCCGUAAACGAUGAUCAUUAGUCGCUAGGGAACUUAGUGACGCAGCUAACGCAUUAAAUGAUCCGCCUGAGUAGUAUGCUCGCAAGAGUGAANNNNNNNNNNNNNNNNNNNNNNNNNNNNNNNNNNNNNNNNNNNNNNNNNNNNNNNNNNNNUACGCGUAGAACCUUACCCACUCUUGACAUCUUCUGCAAAGCUAUAGAGAUAUAGUGGAGGUUAACAGAAUGACAGAUGGUGCAUGGUNGUCGUCAGCUCGUGCCGUGAGGUGUUUGGUUAAGUCCAGCAACGAGCGCAACCCUUGUCUUUAGUUACUAACAUUUAGUUGAGGACUCUAGAGAAACUGCCUGGGUAACCAGGAGGAAGGUGAGGACGACGUCAAACCAUCAUGCCUCUUACGAGUGGGGCAACACACGUGCUACAAUGGUUGGUACAAAGAGAAGCAAUAUGGUGACAUGGAGCAAAUCUCAAAAAACCAAUCUCAGUUCGGAUUGAAGUCUGCAACUCGACUUCAUGAAGUCGGAAUCGCUAGUAAUCGUAGAUCAGCUACGCUACGGUGAAUACGUUCUCGGGUCUUGUACACACCGCNCGUCACACCAUGAGAGUUGAUAAUACCCAAAGACGGCUAGUUAACCUCGGAGACGGUUGUCUAAGGU
rnacentral:rRNA from 1 species